rnacentral:rRNA from 1 species
UGAGGAAUAUUGGUCAAUGGGUGCAAGCCUGAACCAGCCAUCCCGCGUGAAGGACGACUGCCCUAUGGGUUGUAAACUUCUUUUGUAUAGGGAUAAACCUACCCUCGUGAGGGUAGCUGAAGGUACUAUACGAAUAAGCACCGGCUAACUCCGUGCCAGCAGCCGCGGUAAUACGGAGGGUGCAAGCGUUAUCCGGAUUUAUUGGGUUUAAAGGGUCCGUAGGCGGACUUAUAAGUCAGUGGUUAAAGCCUGUCGCUUAACGAUAGAACUGACAUUGAUAAUGUAAGUCUUGAGUAUAUUUGAGGUAGCUGGAAUAAGUAGUGUAGCGGUGAAAUGCAUAGAUAUUACUUAGAACACCAAUUGCGAAGGCAGGUUACCAAGAUAUAACUGACGCUGAGGGACGAAAGCGUGGGGAGCGAACA